GAUGAACGCUGGCGGCGUGCCUAAUACAUGCAAGUCGAACGCUGGAAAUCUAGCUUGCUAGAUUGAAGGAGUGGCGAACGGGUGAGUAAUACAUAAGCAACCUACCCACGAAGACUGGGAUAAUCUCUGGAAACGGGGACUAAUACCGGAUAGGUAAUCGGAAGGCAUCUUCUGAUUAUUAAAGGUUAAAAACACUGGUGGAUGGGCUUAUGGCGCAUUAGUUAGUUGGUGAGGUAACGGCCCACCAAGACGAUGAUGCGUAGCCGGCCUGAGAGGGUGAACGGCCACAUUGGGACUGAGACACGGCCCAGACUCCUACGGGAGGCAGCAGUAGGGAAUUUUCGGGAAUGGGGGAAACCCUGACCGAGCAACGCCGCGUGAGUGAUGACGGCCUUCGGGUUGUAAAGCUCUGUUGUAAGGGAAGAACGGUAGAUAGAGAAUAUCUAAAUGACGGUACCUUACCAGAAAGCCACGGCUAACUACGUG
rnacentral:rRNA from 1 species